AGACCCUGAAGGACAAGCUGUUGUUCCACUUCGUGACCCUGGCCAACGUCUUGGUCAGCCAUUACCAACCCAAAGAGCAGGGGACCAGAAGGAAGCUCAAAACGUACCUGGUCCCAGGGGAAGCAAUUGACAUCUUUGGAAUCCUUCUCCAGAGGUUGGACCUGGUGGAUGACAUGAAGGCCUACUUCUUUCCCACAUAAGCGCCCUGCCUUCUUUCGCAGACCAAAAGACCAUCCCUUUCACUGGUGCCAUGGCUCUAUCCCAAGAGACCUCUCUCCUUCCUCCCUUCCCUUUUCCCAUCCUCCCUCCCUCCCUUUCUACUGCCUUCCUCCCUCCCUC